rnacentral:rRNA from 1 species
GAUGAACGCUGGCGGCGUGCCUAAUACAUGCAAGUCGAGCGAACAGACGAGGAGCUUGCUCCUCUGACGUUAGCGGCGGACGGGUGAGUAACACGUGGAUAACCUACCUAUAAGACUGGGAUAACUUCGGGAAACCGGAGCUAAUACCGGAUUAUAUAUUUCACCGCAUGGUUCAAUAGUGAAAGACGGUUUUGCUGUCACUUAUACAUUGAUCCGCGCCGCAUUAGCUAGUUGGUAAGGUAACGGCUUACCAAGGCAACGAUGCGUAGCCGACCUGAGAGGGUGAUCGGCCACACUGGAACUGAGACACGGUCCAGACUCCUACGGGAGGCAGCAGUAGGGAAUCUUCCGCAAUGGGCGAAAGCCUGACGGAGCAACACCGCGUGAGUGAUGAAGGUCUUCGGAUCGUAAAACUCUGUUAUUAGGGAAGAACAAAUGUGUAAGUAACUAUGCACGUCUUGACGGUACCUAAUCAGAAAGCAACGGCUAACUACGUG